AACUGAAGGACCCAGCCUGCUCGUCCCUCUUCAGCUCUACCGAUGCUGGACAGAAGGAGCAGGCGAGGGGGCCUUUGUGAAGCGCACCACUGCUCCAGGUGGGUAUCGCUCCGCUCCACUCCGCUGACACACCCCGGGCUGUGAACCGCCACAGGCGGAGGCUCUGCUGGCUUUCCUGUACACGGCCGCAGAGAGCGCUGGCUACCAGCUGCUGUGCAACAACGGCAGCAGGGGGGACGCGAGCAGCUUGGCCGCCUGCCACCUGGCCAGGGUGCCCGCCCACGCUGUCGUCAGCCGCACGGACGCUCAGCUGGAACAACCUCCGGAAGGCCAAGGUACACCUUUAAAUGACUGUAACAACCUCACACCUGCAAUCCACCCCUCGGCAGCGUGCAGUCACAGUACAAAUCCUGUGUCCCACAGUGAGAGAGAGAACCAGAGAACACGUACUAGAGCUAUGGAAGUCUCCAUAACUGGUUGAUAAUAUUUCACCUGUUCUCGUCUGAGGCUUAUUUGUCCUUAAAAUCUGUUGUUCAAAGACUCUGCCGGUGGCUUGGCUCUGCAGCCCAGAGCUAGACUCAUUCCUCUUCCAAGGAGCAGAGUACUGCUCUGUCAUCUGCUGUCAACGGAGGUGUGCAGCCAUGUGAAAGCCCUCACACACGCGCUCACUUGCAAACGUGCUUGCGUCGCUUGCGCAUGGAUAUAUGCGCAUACACAUAUAUAAAUGUGUGUAUGCACACUGAUGUACCCGCAUGCAUGCACACUGAUGCACCCGCAUUCCAACAACUCAUCAAUGGAACUACUGUAAUAACCAGAAAAGCUGGAAAAGAGGACAGUCACCUACACGUCCGUAGAUCAUCUAGCCAGGAUCCAUGUACGCUUACAGUAAUUGUGGAUUCUCACGGCAUUGUUAAAAAUGGCAUAAGUUUUUAAUGUUUUACCAGGGCUGUCAUAUUGUGUAUUUUGUCUGUUUUUUUCUUUUUCUUAAUUUUUAUAGAUCUUGGUAUAGUUUCGUAACAAACACUUAACAGUGCAUCUGAUUCAUGCUGAACAUUGCACAUUAUACUGAUGUUACUGUGAUUUCCAUGUGCAAUACAUAAAUACAAAAAUUGUAAAAUAAUGCAGAGGCAUAUAAAUUGUACUGAUAGCUCUGGAGAGCAGGUCAAUCAAAUUUAUGCAUUCUACGCAUAAAACUCCAGCCUUAACUGACCAUUUCCACACUUCUGAGAGCUGGAGUAAGCCUGCACUUCCCACACCUACCACCAGAGGGCAUAUGAGAGAUCUGUGGGACGACCUCCGUGGUGAAAACAUAUACUGAAAAACUUGAAUUUCCCUUCAACUCUGCAUCCUACUUGAAACAGAUUUGAUCAGCCACUGCUGAACUUCCAUUUGAAACUAUACCGUAGCAAAAUAUAUUUAAGUUUCAAAAUUGUCCUUGUGUUCUGUGUGUAGAAUCAUCAAAAGGAUCUCCUAUUAAAGUGCAGGACCGCCUCGCGGUUUAGGCAUGGUGCUAAUGCCCCCCAGGCUGGCGCACAAUCGGCUCCAGCGUAGCUCAGGGAUUGGAGGGAUUCAGACGGUAAGCAUCUCACUGUGCACCAGUGAAUGAAGUUGGUAGAUUGGGCGCCUGCAAGUCAACUGCAAGUGAAAACAACGGCGUAGACGAAUUUCACCACAAUAUAUUUUACUUGGAUCACGAUAUCAAUCUAGAUGUACAAGAAUGAUUUGGAUGAAUCUCUGCCAUCUUUUUGAAUACAGAACUAUUUACAAUUAAUUCAGUUUUGUCUGCAAUUUGGAAUUUAUACUUGUAUAUACUGCUGGUUAACUCAACAACUACAACAAAUUCUUACUGGAAUCUCUCAAUUUUGACUAGAAUCUCUCUAGAAUAUUGGCCUGGGGCUGAAUGACAACUCCACCCCCACCCUCCCCUCACCUCCCCUUCCCCCACAGCCAGUGACUGAGACUCCGUGGACAACUUUGUGAAUAAUCUUUGCUUUUAUAGAAGGGCAGAACAAUGUAACAACAUUCCUGUUUAAGGUCACACAUCCAAUCUAACAAGUCCAUAAUUCUGCAAUCAAACAUCUAAACACUGCAAAUGACAACAAACCUUGCACAGAUACCCAAGCUUGUUCAGUGUGCGUUUGAUGCUUAAUAAAUGUGUUCCUUAAACAAAAAAAGGCACAAUACUAGGACUUCUUAGCUUCAUGACCCUGACUUCAAAAAAGACAAAACGCUCAAAAAAAAAAAAAUUCCCAUGCCAAUAGCAGCAAGGAAUUGUACAUCACAAUAUAAAA